GCCCGCCUCGGCCUCCCAAAGUGCUGGGAUUACAGGCGUGAGCCUCCGCGCCUAGCCUGUACAGCUUUUUUUUUUUUUUUUUGGCCACCUGAACAAAGAUCCUGGGUCAGUAAGGUGUCGGGGUUUCUGUGAGGAGGUCAAUUUUCUUCCAGGUGAGGAUGUGUGUGAGGAAGGUGGAAGCCAGUUUUGUGAAAAGCCUUGAGAAUCCCCAAAGGACAGUAACAUAGGAAGUUAAAUGUGGCGGACGUGCAGGAUGAACUGAUGCACAGUAAGAGCUCCUUGUGGUCGACCCUUCUGACUUCCAUUCCGUUUCUCUGUACUGGAAGACGCAAGUCAGGUGGGCUCGCAGGUUGUUUCUGCAGGCGGGUUAUCCAGCACAGCACCGAAACCCGAAACCCGUAGCCUGCGUCGGGGGGAGGAACCACAGAGAGGAAGCCGCUCCCGCCUUCCUAGAGAGGAGACGGCGGUGGUUAUUGGCAGAGGCGCGGACUGCUGACGUCACGCCGGCGGGGCGCGUCCGGGAAUUACUCCCUUCCACAGGGCAGCACCCAGGCACCUGUCGCAAGGUUCGUGAGGGGGGCGCCGUGGGAAGUGCAUGUGCCUCAAAUUCCUGCCUGUCCUCAAGAGAAGAGCCCCCAGGAGAAAAGCCAGUAUUGCUUGUGUGCCUAACAACCUGUCUCUUGGUAAGUUAACUCUUAACUAGAGAGUCCAGGAUGGUGGUUGUUGUGAGACUGCCAUCAGAAGUGAUGGGACCCACCAAUGUCCACUAUAUGUGGACCCAGGAGACUGAAAAUGUAGAACCACGCAAAAAUGGGUACCAUUUUACUCAAAUCAGUGAGAGUGGCCCACUGUGAAAAAGGCUAUGGAAUAAUUGGUUAGAGUGCACUACGUUCUUAUCAGAGUACCUGAACUGAAGACUCUAUAGUCAUCUGGUAGCACAUCUUUAAACCACUUACUGAACUGCUAAGUAUGAUGCCUUAAUGAUGUAGUGGUUGGAUCUAGGAAUAUGGAUAGUAAUUGGAAGACCCAAUUGCAAAUGUAAUUAGGUAUUUCCUCAGAGAAUAUGGAAUGGGUUUCUGGCCGUGUUUAGAACAAGAGCUUAAGUUACUGCAACUGAUACUGUCACUGGCUAUCAAAAGGCAACAUGGAGCCUGGGUGUCUGUCAAACUUAGUAAAAUAAUUCUGGGUAAAUUGUAUUCUUAGGUUAUGGGAACUCUGUGAAGAGAAUAUGACUGUGUCCUGAAGAAUUUGGUCUAGUUUAAUAUGUAUGCAUAAUAUAUGAACACUUAUGUAUGUAUCUAUGUUUAUAUGCAUCAAGAGAUACCUAGAAGAAAGUCCAUCAACAUACUAACUCUAUUUUCUGUGACUGGGUUUCAAGUGAUUUCCUCUUUGGAGUAGCUGACCAUUUAAUAGAAUGAGCAUGCAUUCUUUGUAUGAUAAGAUAAAAACCUUUUUAUUUUGGAAAAAUAUGAGUAAAGGAAUUAAAAAUGUGCUUAGAGUUUUGAUUUUACAUCUAGUUGCUUAAACCAACUGGAGUUUGUUUUUGUAUAUAGCAUAUCCAUGCUGUAAGUUAAUACAUCAGAUAAAGAUAGGUUUAGGUAAGAUAAUCAACAUAUUUAACAAACAGUAUGGUACAGGCAUUGUCCAAGCAGGUAGUCGUGAACAAUUUGUACAGAUAUACCAGUAUGUAUCAGUUGACUCUCAGCCCCGAUAGAUCCAUAUGUACCAACAUGAAGAGAUCUCUAAGACACAUUUUUUAGUGGGAAAUAAAAGCAAAUUGCAGAGCA
ensembl:lncRNA